UAUGAAGGGGGCUAGCGUUGCUCGGAAUCACUGGGCGUAAAGCGCACGUAGGCGGCUUCUCAAGUCAGGGGUGAAAUCCUGGAGCUCAACUCCAGAACUGCCUUUGAUACUGAGGGGCUCGAGUCCGGGAGAGGUGAGUGGAACUGCGAGUGUAGAGGUGAAAUUCGUAGAUAUUCGCAAGAACACCAGUGGCGAAGGCGGCUCGCUGGGCCGGACCUGACGCUGAGACGCGAAGGCGUGGGGAGCGAACGGG
rnacentral:rRNA from 1 species